rnacentral:rRNA from 1 species
GGACCCGCACAAGUAGUGGAGCAUGUGGUUUAAUUCGAAGAUACGCGCAGAACCUUACCAACACUUGACAUGUUCGUCGCGACUCUAAGAGAUUAGAGUUUUCGGUUCGGCCGGACGAAACACAGGUGCUGCAUGGCUGUCGUCAGCUCGUGUCGUGAGAUGUUGGGUUAAGUCCCGCAACGAGCGCAACCCUCACUUUUAGUUGCCAUCAUUAAGUUGGGCACUCUGAAAGAACUGCCAGUGAUAAGCUGGAGGAAGGUGGGGAUGACGUCAAGUCCUCAUGGCCCUUACGUGUUGGGCUACACACGUGCUACAAUGGUAUCUACAACAGGAAGCAAGACGGCGACGUUAAGCAAAUCUCUAAAAUGUACCUCAGUUCGGAUUGUACUCUGUAACUCGAGUGCAUGAAGCUGGAAUUGCUAGUAAUCG